AAUACAGUAUUAAACAUUAGAAAAAUGCCAUUUAGACAGCAAGAUAUUGCCACGAAAUUAACUUACAAACAAGGACAAAACCUUAAUUUUAUAUAUAUAAAAAAAAUUUCUUAAAAUAUCUCCAAAAGAUCAAAUCACGUCUUCUUCACACAUCAACUAAUAGAAGUUAAUAAAGGUGUCAGCUUUAAGAUACAGUAAAAGUUACUCCACGAUAUCUCUUGGGAGAAGCUCGAAUCAUUCCGCCAUUAAUAGAUAAUCGAAGAUGAAGUUCUAAACUUCCUACUUGGAUCCUAGUCUAAAUAAGUUGAAACCGUACAAAUUUAGGAUUAAAUUUCCCAAAGGAUAACGUUUUUAGUCAAUGAAUUGAAACUUUCUAACAGAUUAAAAGCACCGAAUGGACUCAUUUCGCCUUUAUAACCCAACAAGAAGGAGCUUUCUAGUUUUAAAAGGGUUAAAAAUCUCUAGAGAUUUAAAUAAGUGGAUAAAAGUCAUUAACACUCUCUAAAUAUUCUGUUUAAUGUUAUAAUUUAUAUAAAAACAAUUCAACAAACCAUAUUUACUUAUUUAAAAUUUCAGUUUUUUUUUGUGUGAAUGUGUUUGUAGUUCUUUCUUGCUGUUAGAUAUUGUGUUUAAGAGCUGUGAGAAUCUAAGAAAACAAUUGUUUUUGCUGUAAAUGUUUAAAGCCGAAACGAGAUUUUACAAAAGAGAAAAUAAAAAUAAUGAAAGUUGUUCUUACGAGUGACGUGAGGAUGAACGAUGUCGAACAAAACCAUUGAUUGCUAAAGCACUAAGCCUAAUUGAAAAGACCCCCUUCUUUCCUCUAUUUGAUCACUGUUAAUGAUUAGUGGGAAAUUGUUCGU